CAGGAGAAGGCAAGUGGUGAUCACUAAGCAGCUAAAGGAGGAUGUGCAGGGAUGAGACCCAUGGACCACAGCGUGCUGAAAUAUUGUCUCUUCUCCCUAUUCUUGCUAACAGUAUCUGCAUCAGGCACUCUAUCCAACGCAGCCAUUACUACUAUCCAAACACUAUCUAAUACAGCCAGUGCAAACCAACCAUCCAACACAGCCACUUCAUCCAGUGUAACCACACCAUCCUGUACGACCCGUCGAUGUCUGGCCAGCAUGCUGAUUGCGAAAGAAGCUCUGAGUCAGCCACAGUCUCCAUCAUGCAUCUCAAUUAUCCGUGUGCCGUUAAUAGUGUACGAAACUCUGUCUGUCGACACACAAAACCUCUGCUUCGAGAGUCGUCUGGAAGUCCUGCUGUCUUGGGAAGACCCUGACUUAUCAUGGGCCAAUCAGUCUAUCAUCAUGAUAUGGUGGUCCUGCCUGUCAGCAAAAUCUGGACUCCUGAACUCCAUGUGACUAAUGGAGUGCAAACAACGAUGAAGCACGGCAACAAGGAUUUGCUGGUGCACAGCAACGGGACUAUAGAGCACAUGGUCAUCAUCAACACUGUGGUGGGCUGUGAGGUCAAACUGUACAAUUACCCCUUCGCUUCAGAUUUCUGUGCCAUCGGAAUCAAUGUAUGGGCAC